rnacentral:rRNA from 1 species
CCUGCCUCGCACAGGGGGACAACAGUUGGAAACGACUGCUAAUACCGCAUAAGCGCACAGCUUCGCAUGAAGCAGUGUGAAAAACUCCGGUGGUGUGAGAUGGAUCCGCGUCUGAUUAGGUAGUUGGUGAGGUAAUGGCUCACCAAGCCGACGAUCAGUAGCCGGCCUGAGAGGGUGACCGGCCACAUUGGGACUGAGACACGGCCCAAACUCCUACGGGAGGCAGCAGUGGGGAAUAUUGCACAAUGGGCGAAAGCCUGAUGCAGCGACGCCGCGUGAGCGAAGAAGUAUUUCGGUAUGUAAAGCUCUAUCAGCAGGGAAGAAAAUGACGGUACCUGACUAAGAAGCUCCGGCUAAAUACGUGCCAGCAGCCGCGGUAAUACGUAUGGAGCAAGCGUUAUCCGGAUUUACUGGGUGUAAAGGGAGCGUAGGCGGCAGGGCAAGUCUGAUGUGAAAACCCAAGGCUCAACCUUGGGACUGCAUUGGAAACUGCUCAGCUAGAGUGUCGGAGAGGUAAGUGGAAUUCCUAGUGUAGCGGUGAAAUGCGUAGAUAUUAGGAGGAACACCAGUGGCGAAGGCGACUUACUG